GGGACAACAUUUGGAAACGAAUGCUAAUACCGCAUAACAACUUUAAACACAAGUUUUAAGUUUGAAAGAUGCAAUUGCAUCACUCAAAGAUGAUCCCGCGUUGUAUUAGCUAGUUGGUGAGGUAAAGGCUCACCAAGGCGAUGAUACAUAGCCGACCUGAGAGGGUGAUCGGCCACAUUGGGACUGAGACACGGCCCAAACUCCUACGGGAGGCAGCAGUAGGGAAUCUUCGGCAAUGGACGAAAGUCUGACCGAGCAACGCCGCGUGAGUGAAGAAGGUUUUCGGAUCGUAAAACUCUGUUGGUAGAGAAGAACGUUGGUGAGAGUGGAAAGCUCAUCAAGUGACGGUAACUACCCAGAAAGGGACGGCUAACUACGUGCCAGCAGCCGCGGUAAUACGUAGGUCCCGAGCGUUGUCCGGAUUUAUUGGGCGUAAAGCGAGCGCAGGUGGUUUAUUAAGUCUGGUGUAAAAGGCAGUGGCUCAACCAUUGUAUGCAUUGGAAACUGGUAGACUUGAGUGCAGGAGAGGAGAGUGGAAUUCCAUGUGUAGCGGUGAAAUGCGUAGAUAUAUGGAGGAACACCGGUGGCGAAAGCGGCUCUCUGGCCUGUAACUGACACUGAGGCUCGAAAGCGUGGGGAGCAAACAGGAUUAGAUACCCUGGUAGUCCACGCCGUAAACGAUGAGUGCUAGAUGUAGGGAGCUAUAAGUUCUCUGUAUCGCAGCUAACGCAAUAAAUCACUAG
rnacentral:rRNA from 1 species